UAGAGUUUGAUCAUGGCUCAGAACGAACGCUGGCGGCGUGCCUAACACAUGCAAGUCGAACGAGAAAGUCCUUCGGGAUGAGUAGAGUGGCGCACGGGUGAGUAACGCGUGGAUAAUCUGCCCUGGUAUCUGGGAUAACAUCUCGAAAGGGGUGCUAAUACCGGAUAAGCCCACGGGAUYUUCGGAUCUUGCGGGAAAAGGAGGCCUCUAUUUAUAAGCUUCUGUACCAGGAUGAGUCCGCGUCCCAUUAGCUAGUUGGCGGGGUAAUGGCCCACCAAGGCGACGAUGGGUAGCUGGUCUGAGAGGAUGAUCAGCCACACUGGAACUGAGACACGGUCCAGACUCCUACGGGAGGCAGCAGUGGGGAAUUUUGCGCAAUGGGGGAAACCCYGRMGSMRSMAMSSCSSCKKRAGUGAUGAAGGCCUUCGGGUCGUAAAGCUCUGACAGGGGGGAAGAACCGGCAGGAUGCUAAUACCAUCCCGCCCUGACGGUACCCUCAAAGGAAGCACCGGCUAACUCCGUGCCAGCCGCCGCGGUAAUAC
rnacentral:rRNA from 1 species